UGCAGGUGGGCGAUGGAAGGAACCGGCGCUGGCGCGCACGUGGGUGGGCGAUUGGUAGGCUGGCAGCUGAACACCUGGUCCCUCCAUUCCCGUCCCUGCACAGGCUGCUGCCAGCCCCAGGCCACUACAGCCUCACUGGAGCCAUAAAGACAAGAACAAGCAGGUAUUACCAGGACAGACAAAUAAACAGUGGAUUCCCUCCUCAUGCUUUGAUGUCCUUGACAGUAGAUUAUAGAAGAUCCGAAGGACAAGUGCAGGCUGGAAUGCUGGCAUGAGAGCCUAGAAUUCAAUUAAAGGAACCAGAUAGUCAUAUACAGAAUUAUAGCUAGCUUCUGUAACUGACAACCUUGCAAACCCUCUUCUCAUAUUGUAUGGACUGUACUUACUGUGAAUCGUUAUUAACCUCUGUGAAAUGUAGCUGCUGAAAAAGGGAUCUGAGCUGCAACAUUUAUAAAUUGUAUCCAGUAUUGAAAAUUGAUUUACAGACAUCAUCUGGGACUGAAAACCAUUCUCAAAGAAACUGUUUUCUGUUCAACUAUUAUUAUAAAUGAAGAAAACAGAAACAGUGAAGUGAAGAAACAGAUUGUCAGAGCCAGAAAAGUACCCAGAAGUCACUUACUACAGGACAGGCCCAACAAAGAAAGUAACAGAACACCACUAGCUGUCACCAUUAGCUCCCAACUAAAAUCUCUCCAGUGCAUCAUCAAGGAUCUGCAACCUAUCCUAAAGGACAAUUCCUCACUCUCACAGACCUUGGGAGACAGGCCGGUCCUUGCUUACAGACAGUCCCCUAACCUGAAGCAAAUACUCACCAGCAACUACACACCACACAACAAAAACAUUAACCCAGGAACCAAUCCCUGCAACAAACCCCGUUGCCAACUGUGUCCGCAUAUCUAUUCAAGGGACACCAUCAUAGGACCUAGCCACAUCAUCAGGAGCCUGUUCACCUGCACAUCUACCAAUGUGAUAUAUGCCAUUGUGUGCAAGCAGUGCCCCUCUGCCAUGUACAUUGGCCAAACUGGACAGUAUCUAUGCAAAGAAUAAAUGGACACAAAUCAGACAUCAAGAAUUGUAACAUUAAAAAUCCAGUAGGAGAGCACGUCAAUCCCCCUGGACACUCAAUAACACUUAAAAGUGGCAAUUCUUCAACAAUAAAACCUUCAGAAACAGACUUCAAUGAGAAACUGCAGAACUGGAAUUAAUUUACAAACCAGACGCCAUCAAAUUAGGCCUGAAUAAAGACUGGGAGUGGAUGGGUCACUACAAAAACUAAUUUUUCCUCUGCUGAUACUCACACCUUCUUAUCAACUGUUGGAAAUGGCCGACGUCCAGCUUGAUUGCAUUGGCCUUGUUAGCACUACAAAAGUAAUUUUCCCUCUCUUGAUGUUCACCCCUUCUUGUCAGCUGUUGAGAAUAGGCCACUUCCACCUUAAUUGAAUCGGCCUCGUUAGCACUGACACCCCACUUGGUAAGGCAACUCCCAUCUUUUCAUGUGCUGUAUAUAU